rnacentral:tRNA from 2 species
AGAAACUUAGGCUAACUAACCAAACCAAGGGCCUUCAAAGCCCAAAAUAGAGAUGAAAACCCUCUAGUUUCUG